rnacentral:misc_RNA from 1 species
AACGCACAUUGCGCCCGCCAGCAUUCUGGCAGGCAUGCCUGUUCGAGCGUCAUUUCGACCAUCAAGCCCCCCGGCUUGUGUUGGGGACCUGCGGUUGCCCGCAGGCCCUGAAAACCAGUGGCGGGCCCGACGGCACUCCGAGCGCAGUAGCACCUGUCUCGCUCAGGGCGUGCCGCGGGUUUCUUCCCGGCCGUUAAACAGCGCCUUUCGCAAGGUUGACCUCGGAUCAGGUAGGAGGACCCGCUGAACUUAA